UUCAAACAGUGGUCUAAACGUCAGGAGGAUGACGACAACUGUCAGGACACACUCUUAAGAGAAAUGAAUAAAGAUAAAGAAUAAAGAAUACUUGUUUACUAAAUCUUUCAUAUCCAUAGCGAGCUCAAAGACAUCUGCCAGUCCUUCCCAUAAGAAGGGCAAAGGAAGAACAGAAAAGCCCUCAGCCUGAGCCAUUGAAAGCAGCAGCAGCAGCAGCUUUGUGUACUCUGGUGUGGCAGGCAUUCCUAGGUUGGCUUUUUCUCUUUUGCAUCUAGCACUGGUAGAGGAAAGUUCUUUGCAAGGUGAUAGUUGCAGCCUUGUAUUGAAAUGUGAGCAAAGAGGAGCUUUCUCAAUUGGAUUUGGGUUUAUUCACAGCACUUGUAAACAGCGUUAACGUGAAGAUAACGCGUGCGGGGAGUGUGCCGUGGGUUACCACAAGCGAUGAAGGAUUUUGGGACGGUGCCAAGGCAGUUUCCCCCUCAGCGCACUGUUUUUUUUUCCGGAAGAAUUACGCGAGAGCGGAAAAGUUGCAAUGGCAUCGCAGUUCCCUGCUCAGAAAAUGCCCAGGGAGUGAAGCACGGCCAAGUGGUGCCAUUGAACUGCGCCACAGCUGGGAGCAUCAGGUUCAUUCCUGUUGUAAUCCUCAAAUGGCAAAACAGCGUUGCUCUUUAUUGAAAACAAUUUUGCUCUCAGAAUGUUGAUGGAGGUGAUGAUUGCAGGGGCGACGAUUGUGAAGAAUAACUCCCUCAUCUUCCCCAGGGCCUGGGCAGAGAGAGGUGGAGCUCGGAGUCCCCCGAUCCUCCCGCGGGCGGUUGGCGUCUGCAGCGCCAUCGGGACGGGAUCCACGUCCCGGCUCCUUCCUCCAGAGGCCGAAAGCUCAGCCGACAGUUUCAUGCAGGAUAGUCACCUUUCCAAGGCAAUAGAAGCACUUGCCAAGAGCGGCUGGUGUAGAUGGCUCAGAAGCAAUGACAGGAGUGCAGUGAAAAGUUUGGUCCAUCGGUCCAGCUUCCGGACAUGGUAGGGAAGACACACCUUUUGAUAAAACACCAAACACAGUAGUUUUCAUUCUUUGUGUUUUUCUGUGCUCCCAUUCGGAUUACCCCUGGAAGUAUUAUUUUUGCAAAAGUUAUCUAGGAGAGAAAUCAUAACUUGCUUUGCAUCCUUCUGCCUGGAAGGGUUGUGACACAGGGAAGUGAGGAAGGGGCUGGCCGGGGCCAGCCUUUGCUGAGCCUCAGCUCUGGCUGCUGCUCCUGCUUCCAGGGUAAACCCAAAAGCUGUCAUGAUCAAAAAAGCAGGCAGCCCUUCUGUCCUGAGUCACAGGGGCCAUUUCUUCCUAAGUGACUCAAGAUGGGAAAUCAUUCUUGGAGCUUCAGAAGAAAAAAAAGAAAAAAAAAACAUAUACCUUGAUAGAUGUGUCUAUAUACACACACAUUUCCUUCCAUGAAGAAAGAAACUCUUAGAAAUAUCAUGUCGUGUCUGGCUUCCUAGAGAGGAUCCUUAACUCUGGGCUACUGAAAUCAAAUGUCUGUGCGUUUAUAGACCAUUUCCCUUCUUUUUGUGUGCCUCCCACAGCGAUCUUCUCCCCUGCUCCAUGGCAAGAAGAGUUUGGUGACUUUGCUGCUCUGCUCUCUCAGGGGUGUUUGCAGGCUGUGUAGCAGGGAGUGAAGCCUUUGUCGCUGCCCAUCAGACAUUUUCCUACAGAAUUCUCCCUGCAGUGAUAAAAGUAGACUUGUGUUAGUGAGCUGCCAAGUAGAGCAGGUAACAUGGGACAGGAACUGUUUCUGAGCUGCUGUUCACUAGCACGUGUUUCCCCUUUCCAGCAGAGCGCUGCCGCCCAAGAAGGGAUUUUUGUGGGUCAGCCAGAUGUGCUCCUGCCUCCCACUGAGGCUCUGAGCUGGAGCUGAGUUUGCGUUCCAGUUCAUUGGAACAGAGGGCAUCAGAAGUUUCCUCAGCUGAGGCACAGAGCCAUGGAACCAAGUAAGCCUGAGCUCCUGCGUGCUUGCUGUGAGCCUUGAGGACAGCGUGAAGACUGAAAGUGUUAGAAGAUGUGGGGUGCAAUGGAGAAUGUGGCAGGAGCAUCCAAAGCACGAGUGCACGAGUUUUGCUUUUUGCUUGGAUUGAAACUCAAAAGUUGUAAGGAAUUUGGGAAUGAGAUGGGACAUUUGAGAAGAAGAGGAAGGAGGAGAAGAAGUUGUUGUUACAGUCCUGACAAAAUCUUUUGUUCUAGCUAAUAAAAGAAGUUAGUUAAAAAAAAAAAGCAAAAUAUGUUUGGUUUUUUUUUUCCUGAAUAUUAUAUUCGUUGGUGGUGUAUGGUGUGUUGUUUUAUUUCUUGUUAUUAUUAACUGUCUGUCAUUGUUUUUUUGGGUGAGGCUAACUCUAUGGAUGGGUGUUGUGUAUUUGAGGUAGGAUUAAUUUCAGUAGGUUUCUUUAAUAGACAUCUGGUACAUAUUGUUGGGAUUUUGGUUUUGUUUAUUGGAUGGACAAACAAAGAGAUUUGGUAGGGCUAGCUCGGCUGCUGGAGUUUUGGGUGUUAAUUUAUUAGAUGGCUUUUGUUGAAUGCAGUUUUUAAUGUUUGAAAGUUUUUUAAAAAAGGUAGUGGUUUUAAGGUGGUUUUUAAGAAUUGAUUGUAUUGUUUCAUGCUGUUUGUAGUUGGUGUACGAUAAGGGAUAUGGUGUACUGCUUGAGUUGUUAUGGUUUUCGUGUUCCUAAGUUCCGAUUCAUUUCUGCUAUGAUGGGUUUUUUAGUUUUAUCUUUGGGGACAGGGGCAUUUUUCUGGUGGGUUCUUAUAGGCAACAUUUUUUUAAAUUUGAGUAGUGGUAUUUUUUAAUAUUUUAAUAGUUCUGAUUUUUUACUAUUAUGCUUUUAAGUAGUUUUUUUCAUUUUUAAGAUAAUUUUGAUAGAUUAUUUGUUAUUAUUUGCGAGUUAGCAUAAAGGUGGAGCUUUGGGUUCUUUUUGUAGUAAUGUUUAGGGUCAGUGGCACAGUUCUGAGUUGAGUGACUGGGUUUGAUUUAUUUUUUACGGGUUUUUGUUUUUAUUAGCAGUUAGGUCGUUCUCAAUGUGUGUUUGAGUUUUUUGGGUUUCUGAGAUACUGGUUUGGGAGGAAGUUUAGGAUUAGAAUGGAUGGAGGUUUUGGGCUAGUUAUAUAGAGGGUUUUUUAAAUUUAUUUCUAGUUGGGUUUCUGUGAGUUUUUAAUAGGGUGAAAUGCAGUGGGAUCUUUGUUCUUUGUUAGUAGCAGAAAUGGGUUUAGUUUGGAUCUGCUGCGACGGGACGAGCGUGCUCCGCGUGCCGGCGCUGCCCGAGGCUCAGGAUUGUUGUGGGUCGGAUGUGUCAGGUGAGUGAGUUUGCAUGGUUUAAUAGACAGGUAAAA